CAGUUGUUGGUUCUGGUCCCGGUGUUGUGGGUUCUGGUGUCAGUUCUGGGCCAAUUGUUGGUUCUGGUCACAGUGUUGUGGGUUCUGGUGUCGGUCCUGGUCCAACUGUUGGUUCUGGUCCUGGUGUUGGUUCAGGUGUUGGUCCUGGUUCUGGUGUUGGUUCAAUUGUUGGUCCUGGUCCAAUUGUUGGUUCUGGUCCCAGUGUUGGUUCAGGUGCUGGUCCUGGUUCUGGUGUCAGUUCUGGUCCCAGGGUUGGUCCGGGUGUUUUUCCUGGUCCUGGUGUUGGUCCUGGUUCUGGUGUUGGUCCAGGUGUUUUUCCUGGUCCCGGUGUCAGUCCUGGUUCUGGUGUUGGUCCAGGUUUUGGUCCUGGUCCUGGUGUCAGUUCCGGUCCCAGUAUUGGUCCAGGUGUUGGUCCUGGUGUCAGUCCCGGUUCCGGUGUCGGUUCUGGUUCUGGUGUUGAUGACAGUCCCAGUGUCAGCCCCUGGUCCCGUUGUUGGACCGGUGUCGGUUCUGGUCCCAGUGUUGUUCUGGUCCUGAUGCCGGUUCUGGUUCUGGUGUCGGUUCUGGUCCCGGUGUUGUUCCGGUCCUGGUGUACCUUAUGGUCCUGGUGUUGGUCCCGGUGUCGGUUCUGGUUCUGGUGUCAGUUCUGGUCCUGGUGUUGUUCCCAGUCCUGGUGUCGGUUCUGGUUCUGGUGUCAGUUCUGGUCCUGGUGUUGUUCCUGGUCCCGGUGUUGGUUCUGGUUCUGGUGUCGGUUCUGGUCCUGGUGUUGUUCCCAGUCCUGGGGUACCUUACAGUCCCACUGUUGGUCCCGGUGUUGGUUCUGGUUCUGGUGUCAGUUCUGGUCCUGGUGUUGUUCCUGGUCCUGGUGUUGGUUCUGAUCCUGGUGUCGUUCCUGGUCCCGGUGUUGGUUCUGGUUCUGGUGCCGGUUCUGGUCCCGGUGUUGUUCCCAGUCCUGGUGUCCCUUACAGUCCCACUGUUGGUCCCAGUGUCAGUUCUGGUCCUGGUGUUGUUCCUGGUCCCGGUGUCGGUUCUGGUCCUGGUGUCGGUUCUGGUCCCAGUGUUGGUUCUGGUCCCGGUGUUGUUCCGGUCCUGGUGUCAGUUCUGGUCCUGUUGUUGUUCCUGGUCCUGGUGUCGAUUCUGGUCCCGGUGUCAGACCCAGUAUUGCUGUCAGUCCCACUGUUGGUUCCGGUUCUGGUGGUACUGCUGGUUCCGGUGUCGCUCCCGGUCCAAAUUUUAAUCCAGUCCAGGCUUUAUUCCCAGCCCAGCUCUUGCUCUCAACUCCAGUCCAGGUUUUACCGGUUCCAGUCCAGGUGUUGCUCCCAGUCCGGGUUUUAUUCCCACUCCGGGUUUUGCUUCCACUCCAGUCCAGCUCCCAACUCCAGUCCGGGUUUUACUGUCAGCUCCAGUCCGGUUUUUAUUCCCAGUCCAGGUUUUGCUCCCAACUCCAGUCCGGGUUUUAUUCCCACUCCGGUUUUGCUUCCAACUCCAGUCCAGCUCCCAACUCCAGUCCGGGUUUUACCGUCUGCUCCAGUCCGGGUUUUAUUCCCAGUCCAGGUUUUGCUCCCAACUCCAGUCCGGGUUUUAUUCCCACUCCAGUCCAGGUCUCACCGCCAGCUCCAGUCCGGGUUUUAUUCCCAGUCCAGUCCAGCUCCCAACUUCAAUCCGGGUUUUACCAUCAGCUGCAGUCCGGGUUUUAUUCCCAGUCCAGAUCCCAAAUCCAAUCCGGGUUUUACCUUCAGCUCCAGUCCGGGUUUUAUUCCCAGUCCAGCUCCCAACUCCAGUCCGGGUUUUACCGUCAGCUCCACUCCGGGUUUUAUUCCCACCCCACCUGUUGCUCCCAACUCCAGUCCGGGUUCCAGCUCCGGAUCGGCUGCUAUUGGUCCCGGUUCUGCCGGUCCCGGUCCCGGUUCGGCUGUUGCUGGCUCCGGUUCCGCCGUUCCCGGUCCGGUUCUGCCGUUGCCGGUCCCGGUCCGGCUGUUGUCAGCCCCGGUCCGGCUACUCUUGGUCCCGGUUCUGCCGUUCCCGGUCCGGUUCUACCGUUGCCGGUCCCGGUUCUGCCGCUCUUGGUCCCGGUUCUGCCGUUCCAGCCCCGGUUCGGCCGUUGCCGGUCCCGGUUCGGCUGCUGUUGGUCCCGGUUCUGCCGUUCCAGCCUCGGUUCUGCCGUUCCCAGUCCCGGUUCUGCCGCUCUUGGUCCCGGUUCGGCCGUUUCCGGUCCGGUUCGGCUGCUGUUGGUCCCGGUUCGGCCGUUUCCGGUCCG
rnacentral:lncRNA from 1 species